rnacentral:rRNA from 1 species
CGCGUAGGUAACCUGCCUGGUAGCGGGGGAUAACUAUUGGAAACGAUAGCUAAUACCACAUAAAAGUCGAUAUCGCAUGAUAUUGAUUUGAAAGGUGCAAUUGCAUCACUAAGAGAUGGACCUGCGUUGUAUUAGCUAGUUGGUGAGGUAACGGCUCACCAAGGCGACGAUACAUAGCCGACCUGAGAGGGUGAUCGGCCACACUGGGACUGAGACACGGCCCAG